rnacentral:misc_RNA from 1 species
UCCCCGUUACCGGGGCAGUCUGAAUAGAAAAAUACAACUAUUCAUAAGGGUUGCGCUCGUUGAUGGACUUAACCAAACAUCUCACGACACGAGCUGACGACGGCCAUGCAGCACCUGUCACUGCGCUCAAUAAAGCACUCUCUCCUUUCGGAGAAAUUCGCAGGAUGUCAAACCCUGGUAAGGUUCUUCGUUUACCAUCGAAUUAAUGAACAUGAUCCACCGCUUGUGCGGGUCCCCGUCAAUUCCUUUAUGUUUUAGCCUUGCGGCCGUACUCCACAGGCGGGAUGCUUAACGCGUUAGCUUCGCUACUGAAGGGGUCGAUACCUCCAACAGCUAGCAUCCAUAGUUUACGGCGUGGACUAC